UACGUAGGUGGCAAGCGUUUGUCCGGAUUUAUUGGGUUUAAAGGGUGCGUAGGCGGCUUUGUAAGUCAGUGGUGAAAUACGGUAGCUUAACUAUCGAGGUGCCAUUGAUACUGCAGAGCUUGAGUACAGAUGAGGUAGGCGGAAUUGACGGUGUAGCGGUGAAAUGCUUAGAUAUCGUCAAGAACACCUAUAGCGAAGGCAGCUUACUAGGCUGUAACUGACGCUGAGGCACGAAAGUGUGGGGAUCAAACAGG
rnacentral:rRNA from 1 species